rnacentral:piRNA from 1 species
UGAUCCUGAGAUGGGAAAAGGAGGUA